rnacentral:rRNA from 1 species
AUUGAACGCUAGCGGGAUGCUUUACACAUGCAAGUCGAACGGAGUGGCGGACGGGUGAGUAAUAUAUCGGAACGUUCCCAGUAGCGGGGGAUAACUACUCGAAAGAGUGACUAAUACCGCAUAAUAUCGGAGCGGCCGAUAUGGGAUUAGCUAGUUGGUGGGGUAAAGGCUCACCAAGGCAACGAGCCGUAGCUGGUCUGAGAGGAAGACCGGCCACCCGGGGACUGAGACACGGCCCAGACUCCUACGGGAGGCAGCAGUGGGGAAUUUUGGACAAUGGGGGAAACCCUGAUCCAGCCAUCCCGCGUGUAUGAUGAAGGCCUUCGGGUUGUAAAGUACUUUUGGCAGGGAAGCGGUAUCUGCAUAAUAAGCACCGGCUAACUACGUGCCAGCAGCCGCGGUAAUAC